UGUGCUUUAUUUACUGUGCCCCCUGUACCUGCAGGGUCAGUUCUGGAGGUGACUGCUCCGUCCCCCCACGUUGCCCAGAAAGGAUCCGACACCCUGAUUCCCUGCACAUUCCGUAUUGAUCCAUUCCCUGCGGACCCCAAACUCUUGAACAUAAAGUGGCACUUUAAUUGGAAGAUACGACUGUCGUGCACUGAUAGUGAGGUGAGCGCCACGGACCCCCGAUUCUCCUUGGACCCCAAUUCCGCUCUGUUGGGAGAGGCCUCUCUGUCUGUCUCUAACGCUCAGAUAUCCGAUGGGGGGACCUACUCCUGCUCCGUCACUUACGGCACCGAGUGGCAAGAGAAGGAGAUCAGGCUGGAAAUCCAAGCCCCCCCCCAGAUAAACAUCACUAAUAAACUGGUUACUGAGAAUAAGGAGAGCGCCCUGAGUGCCGCCAUUACUGGGUUCUACCCCAUGGACAUUGACAUUAAAUGGCUCAGGGAGGGGGAGAUACUGGCUGGUGGGACUGAGCUCCCCCCCCAGAGAAAUGCAGAUGGUACAUACCGAGUGACCAGCACAGUGACCAUUGUACCCACCGAGGGGAACAGGAACCAGAACUUCUCUAUCCGGGUCCAACAUGAGUCUCUCUCUGCCCCAUUACAGGAGGAUUUCCCUCUGAUCUAUGCAGCCGCCCCCAUGAUGAAUAUCAGCCACGGGCCAUUUUAUGUGAAUGAGGAGCAGACCCUGAUGUGCCGAGUGUGGGGGUAUUACCCAGAAGACAUUGCUGUGAGUUGGUUCCUGAAUGGAUCUCGGGUGGAACCCUCAGAGAUAAAGAGAAUUAACAGUUCUGCUCUGGAGUUGCCCUACCGGUUCCUCCCAACAGCUGAGAGUCAGGGGAUGGAGAUCUCUUGUGUGGUGGAACAUCAGGCCCUGACGGAACCUCUUGUGCAGUCACUGAAGGUAGAACUGACAGGUUUUGUGGUACCCCAGGAACUGCCUCAUUCUGAGGGGAGAGAGGAUCUCAAUCCAAGGCUGAUCCACAGUCUGCUCCGGGACGGCAACAUCCGGCACAGCCUUGAGGAAAAUGAGGACUAA